rnacentral:rRNA from 1 species
AUUGAACGCUGGCGGCAGGCCUAACACAUGCAAGUCGAGCGAGCGGCGGACGGGUGAGUAAUGUAUGGGCAUCUGCCUGCUGGCUGGGGAUAACUACUGGAAACGGUAGCUAAUACCGCAUACCAUCAGAUGAACCCAUAUGGGAUUAGCUAGUAGGUAAGGUAACGGCUUACCUAGGCGACGAUCCCUAGCUGGUCUGAGAGGAUGAUCAGCCACACUGGGACUGAGACAAGGCCCAGACUCCUACGGGAGGCAGCAGUGGGGAAUAUUGAACAAUGGGCGCAAGCAUGAUGCAGCCAUGCCGCGUGUAGGAAGAAGGUCUUCGGGUUGUAAAGUACUGUCAGUCGGGAGGCGUUACCGACAGAAGAAGCACAGGCUAACUCCGUGCCAGCAGCCGCGGUAAUAC